rnacentral:tRNA from 1 species
AACAUAUAAAUUUGACUUAUGUUACGGCCAUAAGGGGGGCAGAUUAACUGUCAUAUGUUU